AUUCAGGAACUAUGCGAGUAUAAACUGCCCAACCCCGCCAGGUCCGGAAGGAAGCAACGGUAAGCGGAUUUAUAUUGCGCCGUAGUAAUCUUGAGUAUG
rnacentral:SRP_RNA from 1 species